AUGGAGACACAGCUCGCGGAUCUGAUCCAAUCCGUCAAUGAGGGGCGCGCGGCGAACGACGCUCGCCUGGAGGCGAUCCAGGCGUCCCUCGAGCUUUCGCGGACGGCGGUCUCGAACCUGCAACGCGAGCUCGACAAACUCCGUACCCAAGUGGGGCGGAUCACCCUUCACCCGGCGCUCGCGACUCCAGGCGACGCCGCGGAGGACGGGGUGGUGCGUGAGACGUCGUCUCCUCCGAAGACGGGCUCCGAGCACCACGGGCCAAGUGGCCACGGCGAGAACUUCAACUCCGUGGGUGUGGCUCAUGGGGUGGUCACCACCUUGCAGCCGCCUCCGGUCAAGGGCACGUCUCAGUCCCCACCGGAGAAUUUUGCAUCUCUAGGCGUAGGAUUGAGUCGCAUGAUUACCUAG
rnacentral:rRNA from 1 species